UAGGGAAUCUUCCACAAUGGACGAAAGUACUGAUGGAGCAACGCCGCGUGAGUGAAGAAGGGUUUCGGCUCGUAAACUCUGUUGUUAAAGAAGAACAUAUCUGAGAGUAACUGUUCAGGUAUUGACGGUAUUUAACCAGAAAGCCACGGCUAACUACGUGCCACCAG
rnacentral:rRNA from 1 species